rnacentral:rRNA from 1 species
AUGUCCGAGCUGGUGAGAAACCAGGCCAUCCAGGAGAAGCUCUACGAGGAGAUCAAAGCGACGACGAGAGACGACCAGGAAGAGGUCUCCGAGGAAGACAUCCAGAGCAUGCCUUACCUGAAGGCGGUGGUGCUAGAGGGCUUGCAGAAGCACCCGCCUGGGCACUUCGUGGUGCCACACAUGGCAGCAGAGGACGUGGAGGUCGGCGGGUAUCUCAUCCCCAAGGGUGCCACGGUGAGCUUCAUGGUGGCUGAGAUGGGCAGGGACGAGCGGGAGUGGAAGAAGCCGAUGGAGUUCAUUCCGGAGGCAGGCAGAGGGUUGGACGUGACAGGCGGCAGCACGGCGGCGUCGACCGGAGGGUCUGCGCAGGUCUGA